AUUGAAACGCUGGCGGCAUGCCUUACACAUGCAAGUCGAACGGCAGCACGGGUGCUUGCACCUGGUGGCGAGUGGCGAACGGGUGAGUAAUACAAUCGGAAUGUACCUUGUAGUGGGGGAUAGCUCGGCGAAAGCCGGAUUAAUACCGCAUACGCUCUGAGGAGGAAAGCGGGGGACCUUCGGGCCUCGUGCUACAAGAGCAGCCGAUGUCAGAUUAGCUUGUUGGUGAGGUAAAAGCUCACCAAGGCGACGAUCUGUAGCUGGUCUGAGAGGACGACCAGCCACAACUGGGACUGAGACACGGCCCAGACUCCUACGGGAGGCAGCAGUGGGGAAUUUUGGACAAUGGGCGAAAGCCUGAUCCAGCAAUGCCG
rnacentral:rRNA from 1 species